rnacentral:rRNA from 1 species
GAUAUUCCUGUACUACGUAUCAUCAGAACUGUGGGGACGCAGGAGGAUAGGAAAACCGGGGAAUGGAAAAACCCGGCCAAGUACAAAGUCAAGGGAGAUAGGCAAAUCCGUCUCUUGAUGAUGAAGUGCGAUGGGGACUGAACAAAAGUAGGGAAGUUUCCGAAUCCACACUGUCGAGAAAAGCCGCUAUUGUGUGAUACGUACCCGUACCGUAAACCGACACAGGUAGAUGAGGAGAAAAUCCACAGGCCGACGGGAGAAGUGUUGUUAAGGAACUCGGCAAAAUGACCCCGUAACUUAGGGAGAAGGGGAGCCACGCAAGUGGCCGCAGAAAAGAGGCUCAAGCGACUGUUUAGCAAAAACACAGGUCUCUGCGAAACCGAAAGGUGAAGUAUAGGGGCUGACACCUGCCCGGUGCUGGAAGGUUAAAAGGAGAGGUUCGACGUAAGUCAAAGCUUUGAAUUCAAGCCCCAGUAAACGGCGGCCGUAACUAUAACGGUCCUAAGGUAGCGAAAUUCCUUGUCAGGUAAGUUCUGACCCGCACGAAAGGUGUAACGAUUUGAGCACUGUCUCGACAACACGCCCGGUGAAAUUGAAGAACCAGUGAAGAUACUGGUUACCCGCAACAGGACGGAAAGACCCCAUGGAGCUUUACUGCAGCCUGAUACUGGGAUUCGAUGAUAUAUGUACAGGAUAGGAGGGAGACUAGGAAUCCGGGACGCCAGUUUCGGAGGAGUCGACGGUGGGAUACCUCUCUUAUGUUAUUGGAAUUCUAACCUGCGACCAUGAAUCUGGUCGGGGGACACUGUCAGGUGGGCAGUUUGACUGGGGCGGUCGCCUCCAAAAGAGUAACGGAGGCGCUCAAAGGUUCGUUCAGCACGGAUGGAAAUCGUGCACUGAGUGUAAACGCAUAAACGAGCCUAACUGCGAGGGUGACGGCCCGAGCAGUAACGAAAGUUGGAGUUAGUGAUCCGGCGGUAUGUGAAUGGAAAUGCCGUCGCUCAACGGAUAAAAGCUACCCUGGGGAUAACAGGCUGAUCUCCCCCAAGAGU